CUACCACAGCAUUCCCGUUUUCUAAGUUUACCGCCAUUUUGUUUUCGUGCUGGGUAUUGACUUUCGCUUCUUCAUGACUAUUUUAGCAUCAUGGUCAUUAGUUAUAUCAUGAAGUGAUCUCGUGCAGGCGUAUGGAGCACAAAGGUCCAUACAGCACCAUGUCACAGCCCUCUUCAGACAAGAGUAGAGAUCCUUACCACGCAUCAUAUGCUGAUCACCAGGAUAUGAUGUUGAGUGAGGAUGAAGAGGAGAGUGCCACCUUAGCCGAGCCCAUGACGCUGGAGGGGGCCAAGCAGCUGGCACAGACGUCAGUGGUGGUGCCAGCGACCACCCCCACUCCACCGCCCACCUCUCUAGCCUCCAUAUCCCCUCCACCGCCACAUCCUCUUGUCGCUCCUCUCACCUCUCCACACCACUCCACACAUCACCAUCCUCACCACCACCACUUGACGUCCCCGCCGCCACCCCACCAUCAUCACCACCACCUGACCUCACCUCCCCCGCCGCCUCACCAUCACCUCACUUCCCCACCGCCUCACCACCAUCCCCACCUGACGCCUCCACUCCCCCACCACCACCACCACCACCACAUCUGGGGCGCCACUCAUGAAGAGGAGGAAGAGGAAGAGGAGCCACAGGACCUGCCAUCGACGGUGGACAUUCAGGCAAUUAGAGAUUCUCCGUCCCCUGACCACUCCAAGGGGCAGCUGGUCACAAUCAACGAGAAUUGGGACAGUGUGGAGGACCAGGAGCAGGGUGAGGAGGAGUCCGAGGCUUACGAGUCAGACACGGAUGGUUCGGAGAGUGACUCAGACUCUCGCCUCAGCUCCCGGUCUCGCUCAGCGUCCCGGGACAGCAUCAAGUCGCGGUCGGCCUCUCGCUCUCUCUCGCCCUCCAACUCGAAGUCAGACAGUGGGAGUCAGAUCAUGGGAUUUAAGACUGACGGAAAACACAAAAGCAAAGUGGAAGUGAGUGCAGCACUUCUGACAAUGACUUUAGCAAGAGUAGCUGCUGAUUCUUGCCUGCUGCCCCCCCAGGACUCUGAGUCGGACAGCUCAGACUGGAGCGACAGCAGCUCCUCAGCCUCUGACGACGAGAGGAAGAAGGAGUACGAGGAUGGAGACUCCAGCCCCAUGAACAAGCCACUGCCACGUAGGAAGCCUCAGCUCACCGCCGCCAAGCUCACCCUGAGUGAUGGCUACCGGCGCGGCCCCCGGGGUGAUGGCAGUGGCACCUAUAAUCCCGGGGGAGCAGGAGGAGGGCGAGUGGCAUCCCCCUCGCUGAAGAACUCCUCGUCAGUGCCUCACAUGCUGGACAAACACAAGCCACCGUCGCAGUCGUUCACGUCCCCCAGCGUGGAUUCCAUUAUGAACGUUGGGUUUGGGGUUGGUAAGACCACCAAGCCCCCGCCCCCGGCAACGGCGGCGGCAGCGGUGAUAGUGAAGAGCAGUGGCAAGUCGAGCAUCUUCAGCGACGACGACACGAGUGAGGGAAGUGACGUGGAGAAGGGCGAAGUUGUAAAUAAUAAGUGUGUACAGUUGUCUAAGGUUGAAGAAGUGAAACAAAUACUCCCAGUGCCAUUAUCAAAGGGGCCGCUCACCCCUCCAGCCAAAAGUGAAGUGCCAGAGAGUAGCUUGCACCCCUGCACCAAGGAGGGGAGUGCCAGAGACAGCAGUAGUGUGAACAAGAGUGCCGCGGACCUUGGUGCUGGAGACGAUCACAGACCAGACGACAGAGGGUCAGAGGAGGGCGGUGGUAAGGUCAAGACUGCCAGUGUGGAAGCCAAGCCGUGUGUCACUCCCCCUAACCUGAAGGUGGAGGAUGGGAAAGGGAUCUCCUUCCAGCCAUACAGACAGAGCAGCCCAUCCCCCACUGAGAGGAAGUGUGAGGUGGUGCCCAAGUGGGACGAGGACAAGGGGGAGGAGAGCAGAGGCUCCAACGUGUCUGUGGCUGAGCUGGAGGAGCGCCGCCGUGAGAAGGAGCUGGAGCUGAACCGUGAGUUUGACCGUCUGCUGUUCAGCACCAAGACUCUCAAGCCAGGUGAGCAGCCCAGGACUCUGCUGCUGGCUGGCGAGUCGCGGAAGGCUGGCGACGCGUCCCCCAGUGACACCGCCAGGCCUGGCAAAGUGUACGAGUCCCCCAAAGCCAACAGGGUGUACCCGAGUGCCUCUCCCCAAGCCAGCGGCAGGCAGUCCAAUAAAGCCUGCCCGUCUGGUAAGACUGACUUGCCCAGCAGUGCGGCAGGGCAGUGCACAAAAAUGCUCCAGGCAGAGACUGUACUUCAGGAUGUGAAGGACAUAAAUACUCAUGAUAAGAAUAAGACAAAGCAGGAAACACCCACCUGGCCAGAAAAACAGAAAGAUGUGCAGAGUGAUGACCUGUGUAAAGACUCUCUUGAGGAGGCAGGUUGUAAGAAUGAGCCCCAGAGAGGACUCACAGGGGACGGUGCCCUUGACAGGACUGCUAGCAAGGAGGUUGUGACUGAACAAAAGUUUUGCAGAGAUUCUUUGUUUGAAAACUUGCCGAGUAGGGAAGUAAUGAACGGGAGGAAUGUGAGUAGUGAUUGCUGUGUUGAGAAGAGGGGAAGCAAAGACUUGGAGGUGGAGAGGAACUUAGCAAUGGAACACCAGCCGAGCAGAGCACAUGUGAAGGAAUCGUCUGUGGAGAAGUGCCCAAGGAAUGAUGUGCUGUCUGACACGCUAACCAAAACUGUGUCAGAAAAGAAAUCAAAGGAAAUGACAUCUGAAAAGAAAGCCAUUGAGGAAGUACAUGAUAAGAAAAACAGUACUGGCAUGGGUGGUGAGUGGAGGUCAUCUGGGGACAUGGAGUACCAGCCUGCCACACUCAAGGAAACAAGUGGAAUAAGUAAAUUAGAAAAUAAUCAUUCCAAAGACCACCUUGAAAAGAAAUCCAAAAGAGACCUGAACAGUUCUCACAGAAGUGCCAGAAACGAUAUUUUUGAUAAGCCAAAGCAAAGCAGAAGUUCGUACAUUAGUAAGAGGAGCACCAGGGACUCAUCCACAGACAGGAAGUCAAACAGGGACUCUUCACUGGAAAAGAAGAUCAAGGAGAGCCCAGAAGACACUUUUGGUGGUGCAGAUGUCCAUGAAAGCAGACUAGAGGACACUCCCAAGGCCAGUAAGCAGAACAGUGAAGCAGUGGAUGACAAGAAGCCAUACAGAGACAUGCCAUACAUAAACUGUAGUGCCAAGGUUAAGAGUUCAGAGAAAAAGCCAGUCAGAAACUCCUCCCCUGAUAAGAAGUCAGGCAAGGGUGCAGGACCGGAGAAGAGAGCUGGGAGGGAGACCGGAUCUGAGUGCAAGGCUGAGGUGUUUAGUGACCACCAUAAAGACUCAGCCCAGGGGAGGAAGUCUAGCAAAGAGACCUGUCCAGAAAAGAAGCCAAAUAAAAAUGUGCCUCCUGACAAAAAGACACACGAGUCUGCAAAUAGCAACAAGAAGCAGAGUAAGACCGACUCAACAGACAAGAAACAGAAGUCUGAGGAAAGGCUGAACAGGAAACACAGCAAGGAACCUCACGGGGAGAGAAAGUCACACCGGGAUAACUCCUCGGAGCGUCCAAACAGCAAAGAUGCCUCACACAAGACCAUCAGCAGUGAAGGCUGCAGAGAGAGUAAACCUGAGAGGGAAGUGGACAUUGAGGGAGGCCAGGACCACCACCUACCAAGGCCCAACAAAGACCAUAGCACCAAGAAGAGCAAGGAACACAAGGAGCACACCACAGACAAGCACCACACCAGUCCUGAGAAGCCAUCAAGUAAGGACUCCAGCAUGGAAAAGAGAAUUAAGAAGGAUCUGUCAAAUUCAGAGAAACACAGAAGGGAGGACUCCUCUGACAGAAACCAGACAAAGGACACAAGCUCACAGAACCGAUACAGCAACGAGGCAGAGUGUGAAAGGUUGCCCUCCAUCGUGUCAUCCGGGGACAAGAAGCCCCUGAGAGAGCCUGGUCGUGUCAAGGAUCUGGAUUUCAUCAAGAGGAUAGCCAGAGACCACAGCUUGGACACUUCUUACACUGUGAACAACAUCCUCCACAAGAUGUCCUCCAAAAAGCAAUCCAUGAAGGACGGCAGCAGUCGCAAGAAAGUGAAAGCCGAGAGGAGCGCCGAGAAACACCACGAGAAGAGCACCUCGAUUUCUGAGAGGUCGCCCGCCUCAGAGAAUGCCCUGAGGAAGGACUCCGGGGGCGACAUGUCUUCCCCUCGUGAGGUGUCCACCAAGAACAAGAUGACCGGCGACAAGUGGGAUGAGUUCAGUGAUGGCUCUAAGUUCCACAAGGCCAAGAAACUGCUGACGGAGAAGAACGGGGAUGCGGCAACACCAAGACCUCCUAAGCUCAGCGUCAGUCCUGCAGAAUCUCCCAAGUUCAAGCACAGGAACAAGCUAAGUCACAGUGGUGAGACAGCACUCAACACCUCCACCUCGUCCUCCUCCUCGUCUACCUAUUCUCCCUCACCUGGGAAGAGCUCAAAGGAGGGUGGCAUCAGGGCGGAGAACGUCUCACCCACAUCAGGGAAGGACAAGCCUGAGCACCAGGAGAAAGGUGAAGCCCUCAGGAGCCCGGGAGAGAAGGGUGUGUGCAUCCGGCCAACCAUAGCGGACAUUGUGAAGGGGCGGGAGCGAAGGAAGAGCACAGAAACAGAUCGGUACAACGGUGGAGAGAAGGGCAAGCGGGGAGACAUGUACAGGGACGAGACCUCCACUGACAGCGAAACCUCAGAGGAGCUGAAUGAGAAGGUCGACCUGGACACCGAGCAGACCCAGACCUUCUCUGUCAGUGAGAGCAACUUCAACCAGGGUCGGCUGACGAUGAAAAUAGCGGCAAUGAAAAUGGCUAAAUUUGGGAGGACUGGCCUAAGGGAGGUGACCGGGGGGCGUCCUCCCAACCAGGUCUGACCUCCCGCCCACCCAGCGCAGGGAGAGCAGCAUGAGCAUGUCCUUCAGCCCCUUCAGGAGGCCACGGCUGCUCUCCCAGAAGGCCCAGGGCAGUGCAGGCGCCCCCACCGAGACCCACAAGGUGAAGACAGCCGCCGAGAGGCAGACUUACUCUGACGCCCUGCCGCCCAACGGAUCGGUUGCGUGCCAUCAACUCCAAGGUGCAUCGCAAAAAGGUGAGGCCCGAGCGUGUGCGUAACUGGGGACGCGGUUAUGUAAGUACGAUGUGUGUGUGUGUGUGUGUGUGUGUGUGUGUGUGUGUGUGUGUGUGUAUAAACUUUCCAUUCCUUUUUAUUUUUCUAUCGUAUUUUCGUAAGUUUUAAUGAUGUUUCGUAUCAUCACGAGAAAAAAAAAACACAAAGGGUCACAAAGGAAGAACAAAAUGCGGCACAAUACUCUCUACAUUUAGUUCAUUUGAGGAUGUGAUGUGUUAAGUUAAUAUAGGUUAGGUUAGAUUAGAUUAAGUCUGGCCAGUUCAAGUAAGAUCAGGUUGAAUUAGGUCAGGUUAAGUUCGGUCAGGUUAGGUUAGGUUAGGUUAUGUUGGGUUAAGUCAGUUCAGGUUGGAUUAGGUUAAGUUAGUCCAAGUUAGGUUGAGGUAGAUUAGGUUAGGUUAAGGUUAGGUUAGGUUAGGUUACACUAUUGAAGCAGUUGUUGUUGUAAAGACGAAGGUUACUAUCCCAGUUCGUUCUAAUAUUAGUAAUAGUAGAAGCAGUAGUAGUAGUAAUAAUAGUAGUAGUAGCAGUUGUUGUAUAGUAGACAGGUG